rnacentral:lncRNA from 1 species
AAGGGGUUAUUGCCAGAAAAUACAUAUACUUUGUCAAUUUUCUGGUUUAUAUCAUGACCUUAUAAUUUGGCCAGAAAAUACAUCAAUUUUCAAUUUAAUUGCAAUUAUAACAUGACUUUAUAGUCUGGCCAGAAAAUACACCAAGUUUCAAUUUAUUCUCAAUUAUAACAUGACCUUAUUUAGAUUUAUUUUCAUCAUAG